CACCCCCUACGGGCGGCAGCAGUAGGGAAUUUUCGUCAAUGGGCGCAAGCCUGAACGAGCAAUGCCGCGUGAACGAGGAAGGUCUUCGGAUCGUAAAGUUCUGUUGAAGGGGAAAAAGAGCGGAGAGAGGAAAUGAACUCCGAUUGAUAUUACCCUUCGAGGAAGUCACGGCUAACUACGUGCCAGCAGCCGCGGUAAUACGUAGGUGGCGAGCGUUAUCCGGAAUGAUUGGGCGUAAAGGGUGCGUA
rnacentral:rRNA from 1 species